rnacentral:rRNA from 1 species
AUGCCAGAUGUGAUUCCAGUUGACGCGAAGACGGCGACCUCGCCUCGUGACCACAAGGCUGCAGCAGGGUGCGACCUGGCGGUGGACGAGAUCUCGACCGGGAUCCGUGAGGAGGAGAGACGACGCCGAAGGCAGAAGGUUGAAGAAGAGCAGCCUGAACGAACACCGAACGGCAGCUCUCCGCCUCCAGUUCGCGACGCUGAAGAAGUUGACAGCAGAGCAGAUCGAGCUCUGCAAAGCAAGAAUCCGGAUCAGAUCCACAAGAAAUGGACGCCGAAAAGGAGAAGGAAAAGAAGAGCAUAG